AGCGAACGCUGGCGGCGUGCUUAACACAUGCAAGUCGAACGUGAAAUGUAGCAAUACAGAGUAAAGUGGCGUACGGGUGAGUAACACGUGGGUAAUCUACCAAAGUGUCUGGAAUAACCGACCGAAAGGUUGGCUAAUACUGGAUAGUUCAAGCUUGUUAUAAUGGCAAGAUUGGGAAAGGGAGCUGGCAACAGCCUUCGCAUUUUGAUGAGCUCGCGUCUGAUUAGCUAGUUGGUAAGGUAAUGGCUUACCAAGGCUGAGAUCAGUAGCUGGUCUGAGAGGAUGAUCAGCCACACUGGAACUGAAACACGGUCCAGACUCCUACGGGAGGCAGCAGUGGGGAAUCUUGCGCAAUGGACGAAAGUCUGACGCAGCCACGCCGCGUGAGUGAA
rnacentral:rRNA from 1 species